rnacentral:rRNA from 1 species
UACGAAGGGUGCAAACGUUGCUCGGAAUUAUUGGGCGUAAAGCGCACGUAGGCGGCUUGGCAAGUCGGAUGUGAAAGCCCUCGGCUUAACUGAGGAAGUGCAUCCGAAACUGAAUAGCUAGAGUACGAAAGAGGGUCGCGGAAUUCCCGGUGUAGAGGUGAAAUUCGUAGAUAUCGGGAGGAACACCGGUGGCGAAGGCGGCGACCUGGGUCGAGACUGACGCUGAGGCGCGAAAGCGUGGGGAGCAAACAGG